CACCAAUAUUUUUCAGUGCCACUAUUUGAGAUUCACAAAUCAAUAAUCACCAUUGGAGCGCUCAGCAAUAAUAUCACACAAUCUUCAGCGCUCAUACAAUGAUCCUAUUACCACAAUAUAGUUAUUACCUUUCAGUCUCAAAUAGAAACAGCAAUACAUACAAAGUGCAUAGGUUUAGGAAAACAAGCCCAGGAAGAACGAGAGAUGUUCCUGGCUGGACAUCAUACUUUUGCCAUACUUACGAUUCCACUUCCAGGCUGCCAUUACUGGAAAUCUGGUCUAAGGAACAUUCACUGCUCUUGUCCUCUUGAGCCAUACCAACCUUUGCAAAUAAUGGGAAUCUUCUGGGCAUCUUCUAAGUUGCUUAAAAGUGUCUGACAAUUUAUAUUACUUGUGUGCUAUUUUGGGGGGCUUGCACGGCUCAAAGCACGGUCUCCCAUAGAGUGGAGCCUGGUGAAACGGAUGCUGAGGAGACCAGUGUCAGAGGAGUACAGUGAGCAGGUCGGUAUGUAGGGGUGCAGGAGGUCCGUAAGGUAUGUGGGCGCCAGUCCAUUGAGUGCUUUGGAGGUGAGCAUGAGAAGUCUGAAUGUGAUCCUGUAUUGAUCAAGUAAGCCAAUAGCUCACGACACUUGUCACCACGACAAUAUCCUCUUUUAUGGUUGACAUCAGUAUACAAUAUUGUCAUCUCAGGUGACCUGACAACCCUCAUUGGCAGUUGGGGGAGUUUAGGUGAGAUGGAGAGGAGGAGAUUCCAGAAGAUGUCUGAGGAGUUCAGAGAGUCAAGGGUUAAAGGACAGAUGACUGAAGGCGUUAGGGCAAGAAGAGUUGAUGACUACAUAAAGUCAUUGAAAGCCAAGGUCAGAGUAACAGAUGCUGGGAUGGCAGCCUAACACUAUAUUUUAGCCCACACUUUUUAGGCACUACUUUUGAGUUUCUAAGUGUUUCAUAGGUAGUUAUUGGACCCUUGUUAUGUAUUCAGCAACCCUCCUGCCAUUGCCUGGCAGCCAGGGAUUGAACCAGUGACCUUGCUCUUACAGCUACAGAUUAGUGCCUGAUAAGUGUGGGCUUAAAUAAAGUGUUAGUUUUAGAACCUCCCAUAGGGUAAGGUAGGAAGUAUGAAAGAAGAGAAUAGUAAAAUAAAGGUUCAGAGAUGAGUUUGACAGAAUUAUUAUGUGUUACAGAAAUGAGUCAUUUGUUUUCAGUAUAAAAAGUGUACAAUUUACUAUUUCUUAUAAAAUAAAUGUAAUGUUUGGUUCCUCCUUAUGUAGUUGAAUACAUUUCCUAUUAAGUUGUCAAAUUUUCGAGGUUCUGGGGUGGAGGCUGUUGUCCUCAUCUUGAAGAAACAUGGAGAAGACAAGGAGGUGCAGCAUCUGGCCACUAGUGGAGUGCAACAGUUUGUCAUGAGAACAGGUGUGAACACAACUGGACCACAGGAGGGUCAGAGGAGCCGAGCAGAUCAAAUUCAGGAGAUGAAUCUGGUGCCAAGGGUUGGUUCCCCUACUGUGCUUUUGAGGAGGGGACCAUCAUUAGAUGUCUGGGGCAUGAGUUAACCAUCAAGAUACCGUCAUCUUUUGGAUUCAAACAGCUGGAAGACAUACUGGCCAAGGCAGUGGACUUCAAAUUUGAAAUAUUAGUUGUAAAUGAAUUAUCUUUGUCUCAUUCUAUCUUGUUAUUGAUACAUUUUMCAAUAUCCAAUUCAAUUAUUACUUGAGAUUAGAGGUCGACCAUUCCGAUUAAUCGGGGCCGAUUUCAAGUUUUCAUAACAAUCGGAAAUCGGUAUUUUUG